CAACCACAGGGACAACCACCGUACCACAACCCUCAACCACUGUUGAGUCGGCCGAGAUGGAGGACAGGCCACUGCGUCCACCUGGUCACCCAGCAGAAAAAAAUGUGAAGGGAGUUUUGCCAAGAAGACCUACAGUUUCACCAAACUCCACCAGAACUACCCUGGUCCCGUCUGGACUGCAGACUGGAGACACUCCACCUCCAGCUUCUGCUGAUAAAACCAAAGGGCGGGGAAUUGUUACCGCGGCAACGACAAGCUCACCAACCUCGGCGAGGCGUCCAGAAAAUCCCAGCUCCAAGCCAAUCAGAGUCACCGCCUCCUCAGAGCUAUCGCCCACAGUUCUGGAGGAUUCCGUCAAAGAACAUUACAGAACACAAACAGCCACUCCUUUGGGUUUCACAAG